AACGCACAUUGCGCCCCUUGGUAUUCCGAGGGGCAUGCCUGUUCGAGCGUCAUUUAUACCAACUCCUCUGCAAAGAGGGUCUUGGACUUCGCCUCUGGGCGGGUCUCAAAAUCAGUGGCGGUGCCUUGAGGCUCUACGCGUAGUAAUACACCCCGCGAUAGAACCCUUAGGGUAUCUUGCCAGCAACCCCCAACUUCUUAGGUUGACCUCGGAUCAGGUAGGGAUACCCGCUGAACUUAA
rnacentral:misc_RNA from 2 species